rnacentral:rRNA from 1 species
AGCUCCAAUAGCGUAUAUUAAAGUUGUUGCAGUUAGAACGCUCGUAGUCGGAUUUCGGGGCGGUCCGACCGGUCUGCCGAUGGGUACGCACUGGUCGGAGCGUCCUUUUUGCCGGAGACCGUGCCUACUCUUAACUGAGCGGGGGCGGGAGACGGCACUUUUACUUUGAAAAAAUCAGAGUGUUUCAAGCAGGCAGCUCGCUCUUGCAUGGAUUAGCAUGGGAUAAUGAAAUAGGACUUUGGUGCUAUUUUGUUGGUUUCGAACACCGAAGUAAUGAUGAGAAGGGACAGUCAGGGGCACUCGUAUUCCGCCGAGAGAGGUGAAAUUCUCAGACCAGCGGAAGACGAACCACUGCGAAAGCAUUUGCCAGGGAUGUUUUCACUA